rnacentral:rRNA from 1 species
ACACGACUACAUUAGAUACCCCCGGUAGUCCAGGGUGUAAACGCUGCGGGCUUGGUGUUGGGGUCCUUUGAGGGCGCCCAGUGCCGGAGAGAAGUUGUUAAGCCUGCUGCUUGGGGAGUACGUCCGCAAGGAUGAAACUUAAAGGAAUUGGCGGGGGAGCACCGCAACGGGAGGAGCGUGCGGUUCAAUUGGAUUCAACGCCGGACAACUCACCAGGAGCGACGGUUACAUGAAGGCCAGGCUGAUGACCUUGCCUGAUUUUCCG